rnacentral:rRNA from 1 species
GGGGAAUUCGGCAAAUUAGAUCCGUAACUUCGGGAAAAAGGAUUGGCUCUGAGGAUUGGAUUCAAGGGCCCAUUCAUGAACGCUUAGUCGUUAGUUGGUGCGAGGCAACGAGUGCUUUCUGACUUCGACGCUGGAUUGUGUGGGACGCUUCAUCGGCUUUCCUUGAAUAAUUAACAAUUAACUCAGAACUGAAGCGGACAAGGGGAAUCCGACUGUUUAAUAAAAACAUAGCAUUGUGAUGGCCUGAAAAGGUGUUGACACAAUGUGAAUUCUGCCCCAGUGCUUUGAAUGUCAAAGUGAAGUAAUUCAACCAAGCGCAGGUAAACGGCGGGAGUAACUAUGACUCUCUUAAGGUAGCCAAAUGCCUCGUCAUCUAAUUAGUGACGCGCAUGAAUGGAUUAAUGAGAUUCCCACUGUCCCUAUCUGCUACCUAGCGAACACACAGCCAAGGGACAGGCUUGG